UACAGAGGGUGCGAGCGUUGUCCGGAAUUAUUGGGCGUAAAGAGCUCGUAGGCGGCUUGUCGCGUCGGAUGUGAAAGCCCGGGGCUUAACUCCGGGUCUGCAUUCGAUACGGGCAGGCUAGAGUUCGGUAGGGGAGAUCGGAAUUCCUGGUGUAGCGGUGAAAUGCGCAGAUAUCAGGAGGAACACCGGUGGCGAAGGCGGGUCUCUGGGCCGAUACUGACGCUGAGGAGCGAAAGCGUGGGGAGCGAACAGG
rnacentral:rRNA from 1 species